rnacentral:tRNA from 1 species
GUUAGCGUAGCAUACAGGUAAUGCGAGAGAUCUAAGUCCUCUAAAAUGAGGUUCAAGUCCUCCCACUAACU